rnacentral:tRNA from 2 species
ACUUAAAUAGCUUAUAAUUAGAGCAUAAUAUUGAAGAUAUUAAGGAAAUAACUUUAUUUUUAAGUA